rnacentral:misc_RNA from 1 species
GUGAAUCAUCAAAUCUUUGAACGCAAAUUGCACUCUCCGGUUUUCCGGGCGAGUAUCCCUGUUUAAGGGCCAGCCUAAAUAAAAUCGACAUUGUUGCUGUUUUAUGGUGACUUUCGUUGGAGAUGGGUUAUCUUAUAUCUCGGUUUAAGCGAAUUAAAAAUUUUUUUUUAUGAUUCUAGGACCUUUUCCAUGUUUUUAAUUGUACUUUUAAGUUACGUA